rnacentral:lncRNA from 1 species
CAGGGCCAGCCACUCAGCAGCUCUGUUCUGAAUUUUCAGUGAAGAACCUGUCCCAAGUCUCCAUACUGAGCAUCAUAAGGAUGUAUAUUUUCUGGCCAAGUGGCAAUGAUGAGUUUUCAGAGAGGAUGACACUGAGGUUCUGGGACGACCUGUGUCUCACCCAAGGCUGCCUGGGUAAAGGGGAGCAGAAACAGGUAGAGGGAGCUGGUCUCCUGAAUCCGAUCCAGCCCCGUUUUCCUGCCAAGCCCUGGGAUGAGGACCUGAGACGCCUUCUCCCACCCACUGCUCUGCGCAUUGCACAGAAGAGCGGCUGCUGGUAAAGUUCUGGGAGUUCUGACACAUGCACGCCACAGAAACACAGGACUGGGGGUUGUCACCGCUAUCAACGUUAAUGACAAUAAAGGGAAAACAGCAUUUCAGUGUCACUUCACUGAGCCAUGAUUACUCAUGCUUCCAGCAAAUACUCAAGGAAUCAG